UACGGAGGGUGCAAGCGUUAUCCGGAUUCACUGGGUUUAAAGGGUGCGUAGGAGGGCAGGUAAGUCAGUGGUGAAAUCCCCGAGCUUAACUUGGGAAUUGCCGUUGAUACUAUCUGUCUUGAAUACCGUGGAGGUGAGCGGAAUAUGUCAUGUAGCGGUGAAAUGCUUAGAUAUGACAUAGAACACCAAUUGCGAAGGCAGCUCGCUACACGAAUAUUGACUCUGAGGCACGAAAGCGUGGGGAUCAAACAGG
rnacentral:rRNA from 1 species